AGGCCCGAUGCGCUAGACCGUUUAGUGAAUGGCUUGGUUCGGGCGCUGACGAAGGUCGUGGCAAGCUGCGAUAAGCCCGGGCGAGGCGCAUGCAGCCUUUGAACCCGGGAUUGCCUAAUGGGAAUCCUGUCAUGGAAAACCCAUGACGCUCGCAUUAGCGAGUGGGAACCCCGCGAAUUGAAACAUCUUAGUAACGGGGGGAAGAGAAAACAAACGUGAUGCCCCUAGUAACGGCGAGUGAAAAGGGUAUAGGGCAAACCGAAUCUGGUCGAGAAAUCGACUGGAAAUUUGGUGUUGUAGGAUCCGGUCGCCACCUCCUCGACUAAGCUGAAGUCCACUGGAAUGUGGCGCCAGAGAGGGUGAAAGCCCCGUAAGCGUGAACCGAAAGGUGUUGGACCGGUCUUCCUGAGUACCGUGCCUUGGAGAUGGCGCGGGAAGCUGGGAGGCAGCAACUUCCAACCCUAAAUACGUCCCGAAACCGAUAGCGAACGCAGUACCGUGAGGGAAAGCUGAAAAGCAUCUCGAAAGGGAGAUGAAAAGAGCCUGAAACUAAACGGUUAUGAAAAGACAUGGCUUGAAAGGAAGGAAUCUUCCCGAAGGAAUCCGUGGCGACGCGGUAGUACGGGGGAAGAGGACCAGGGUCAUGUCUUCCGUUUGGAAAUACGGCCCAGGGAGUUCACCUCCGUGGCGAGGCUAAAGAGUUCACCUCUGAAGCCUUAGCGAAAGCAACAUGCCCGCAGUCCCUUCGUGGGAUCAGGGGCGGGGUGUGAAAGCGCCCGGAGUCACUGGGGUGAGACCCGAAACCAGGCGAUCUAGCCCGGGGCAGGGUGAAGCCGAUCCUCGGAUUGGUGGAGGCCCGAACCGGUCCUGCCGUGCAAUGCGGUCGGAUGACUCUGGGCUAGGGGUGAAAGGCCCAUCUAGCCUGGCGACGGCUGGUUCCUCCCCAAAAUGGUCGCAGCCAUGCCUAGCACGAGGUAGCUGCAAGUGUAGAGCACUGAUUGGUGAGUAUGGAAGGAGACUUCCGGCUCUCCUGUCAAACUCCGAAACUUGUAGCGCCAUAGACUGCUGGAGUAAGGAUGUAGGGGGUAAGCUCCUACUCCGAAAGAGGAACAACUCAGACUGAGGUUAAGGCCCCUAAAUGCCGGCUAAGUGUUAAUCUUAAAGGGAGUCUUCGUUCCGAGACAGCGGGAAGGUAGGCUUAGAAGCAGCCAUCCUUUAAACAGCGCGUAACAGCGAACCCGUUGAGGGUGAAGGCCCCUAAAAUGGACGGGACUAAGCCGGCUGCCGAUACCUCGGGACAGGUGAAGAAGAGUAGCCUGAUUCUGUAGGGAGGCAUCCGGCGAGGACAGAAGUGCGGCUGUGAAGUCGUAUGGAUCUCGUUGGAAAGAGAACCCUGGGAGUAGUAACAGCAAAGUAGGGUGAUAAUCCCUACCGCCGGAAGGGCGCGGGUUCCUCGUCAAUGUUCGUCAUCCGAGGGUUAGCCGGUCCUAAGUUCUUCCUUAACAAGAGGAGAGCGAAAGGGAAACGGGUUAAUAUUCCCGUGCCAUCUGGGUACCUGCCGUAAGGCAAAGCUCAAUUCCCGACGCUUCGAGAUAAGCCGAGCAGGGUCAUCGCCCUGUUUAACCGAUAAAACCCGGGGAGAGCCGUAAUGGCGAGAACCGGGCGAAUUCGGGAAUGGCCCGCCUAAAUGGUGGGUUCGGCCGAUUCUUGGAGCCCAUGAAAACGGAGUUGAGAAUUGGAAUCCCAGGUGUCCGUACCUAGAACCAACACAGGUGCCCCUAGGUGAGUAGCCUAAGGCGUAUCGGGCGGUCCCAGGCCAGGGAAUUCGGCAAAUUGGCCCCGUAAGUUUGCGAGAAGGGGUGCCUGCCUUGUGAAAGGGCAGGUCGCAGAGACCGAGGAGGGCCGACUGUUUAAUAAAAACAUAGCGAACCGCAAGUCCGAAAGGAUGUGUACGGUUUGUGAAUCCUGCCCAGUAGCGGCAUGUCAAGCAGGGUUACAACUCUGUGAAGCGCCGCUAGACGGCGGGGGUAACUAUAACCCUCUUAAGGUAACGAAAUGCCUUGCCGCUGAAUUGGCGGCCUGCAUGAACGGAUCAACGAGCUCUCCGCUGUCCCGGUCUGGGUCCCGGUGAACCUACAGUCUGGCGCAGAGACCAGACACUCCCGUAGGGAAGCGAAGACCCCGUGGAGCUUAACUGCAGGCUGCUGUUGGGGUUUGGUUGUCGGUGUAAAGCGUAGGCGGGAGCUUUCGAAGCCAAGCCGCUAGGCUUGGUGGAGGCGCUCAUGUAACACCGCCCGCUGUCGACCGGAUUCCUAACUACUUCGGUAGAACAGCAGCAGUUGGGCAGUUUCGCUGGGGCGGCAGCCCCUCGAAAAACUAUCGAGGGGGUCCAAAGGUCGGCUUAGGCGGGUCAGAAAUCCGCCGUAAAGGACAAGGCCAGAAGCCGGCCUAACUGUGUCUUCAACACAGGACGACGCAGGGGCGAAAGCCAGGCCUAGCGAACCCCGAUGUCCCUCUUGGUGAGGGCUCGGGAUGACAGAAAAGCUACCCCGGGGAUAACAGAGUUGUCUCCCCCAAGAGCCCGUAUCGACGGGGAGGCUUGCGACCUCGAUGUCGGUUCUUCGCAUCCUGGCCGUGCAGCAGCGGCCAAGGGUAGGGUUGUUCGCCCGUUAAAGCGGAUCGUGAGCUGGGUUUAGACCGUCGUGAGACAGGUCGGACGCUAUCUUGCGGGAGUGUUGGAUGCCUGAGGGGAAGGUAGCUUCAGUACGAGAGGAACGAGUUGCCGGCGCCUCUAGUGUACCGGUUGUCCGAGAGGGCAUAGCCGGGUAGCCACGCGCCGGUCAAUAAGGCCUGAAAGCAUCUAAGGCCGAAGUGACUCCCGAUAAUAGGCAUCCGCUCCUGGUCGGCUUCCGGGACUGGAGACAGUCACGGGGUGCCAGGACAAAGGCAGGGGCUAGAAGACCCCGUUGAUGGACUGGGGGUGUAAGCACGGAGCUUCGGCGACGUGUUCAGCCCACCAGCACCAAUAGCCUGAGGCGUCGAGCCU
rfam:Candidate divison MSBL1 archaeon SCGC-AAA259D14 AAA259D14_Contig_3, whole genome shotgun sequence.